CAGUCGCCGCGGGAAUACGGAGGGGGCUAGCGUUGUUCGGAAUUACUGGGCGUAAAGCGCACGUAGGCGGCUUUGUAAGUUAGAGGUGAAAGCCUGGAGCUCAACUCCAGAAUUGCCUUUAAGACUGCAUCGCUUGAAUCGCGGAGAGGUGAGUGGAAUUCCGAGUGUAGAGGUGAAAUUCGUAGAUAUUCGGAAGAACACCAGUGGCGAAGGCGGCUCACUGGACGCGUAUUGACGCUGAGGUGCGAAAGCGUGGGGAGCAAACAGGAUUAGAUACCCCUGUAGUCCCUGUCUCUUAUAA
rnacentral:rRNA from 1 species